rnacentral:tRNA from 1 species
GGGGACGUAGUGUAGUUGGUUAACAUGCGGCCCUGUCAAGGCCGAGAUCGCGAGUUCAAGUCUCGUCGUCCCCGCCA